rnacentral:tRNA from 1 species
CCACUGAUAGCUCAGAUGGUAGAGCGGAGGACUGUAGAGCCUUAUGUCGCUGGUUCGAAUCCGGCUCGGUGGA